ensembl:lncRNA
UGGGAUAUGAAAUGCCCAGGAAGAGGCACCAGGCUGGUGGAUAUGGGGAGGGUCAUAAUGUGCCCAAUAGGGUGGGAAGUGCCCCAUCACUCAUCCCCUGGCCCUCUCCCCCUUACUGCCUCGUGCCCCCAACUCUCACAUGCCUGGUGUUGCUCCUGCCACAUUUCUGCCCGUGCAGACCCCAUUCUGGACUAUGUGACCAUUGGCAGGAGAGUCUCAGUGCCUGUCAUCAUUUGCAUCAUCCUGGGGCUCCUUAUUUGCCUACUCCUGGCCCUCCUGGCAAGGCAGAUGCAAAGUGCCAGAGCUCGGCACAGAGACUCCAGGAGAUCUGGGGAGCCCUUCUCUGAAGCUGUGUACGAGGAGAUUGAGUACAGCCCAAUGAGGGAGAAGAAAAUGAGAUUCAGUUUCUCAGGUGGGUGCAGGUCGCAGCAGGAACACAUUUGUCAAUAUUUUUCUCCAGUCGAGCCCAGAGCUCACACCAUAGCACGUGCUGUGCUUCUUUCCAGGCUCCGGUUCAGAGAGCUCCCUAGCCAAGAUGCACCCCUACCAUAGGAAUAGUGAGGAGGAGGAUCUUAUCACUGUUAUCUG